rnacentral:rRNA from 1 species
AUUGAACGCUGGCGGCAUGCUUUACACAUGCAAGUCGAACGGUAACAGGCCGCAAGGUGCUGACGAGUGGCGAACGGGUGAGUAAUGCAUCGGAACGUGCCCAGUCGUGGGGGAUAACGCAGCGAAAGCUGCGCUAAUACCGCAUACGAUCUAUGGAUGAAAGCGGGGGACCGUAAGGCCUCGCGCGAUUGGAGCGGCCGAUGUCAGAUUAGGUAGUUGGUGGGGUAAAGGCUCACCAAGCCAACGAUCUGUAGCUGGUCUGAGAGGACGACCAGCCACACUGGGACUGAGACACGGCCCAGACUCCUACGGGAGGUAGCAGUGGGGAAUUUUGGACAAUGGGCGCAAGCCUGAUCCAGCAAUGCCGCGUGCAGGAAGAAGGCCUUCGGGUUGUAAACUGCUUUUGUACGGAACGAAACGGUCCUGGUUAAUACCUGGGGCUAAUGACGGUACCGUAAGAAUAAGCACCGGCUAACUACGUGCCAGCCGCCGCAGCAAGAC